rnacentral:tmRNA from 1 species
GGGUCCGUAACGGUUUCGACGUGGUGGCGAAAGCUGCUCUAUGAUUCAGGUCGAGAGUGAGUCUCCUCUCGAAAAUCAAGGCUCAAAAAAAUAGAUGCAAACAACAUCGUACCUUUUGCUCGUAAGCACGCUACUGUAGCUGCCUAAUAACCUCUAACUGGUUCGAGCGCUUCUGGUCUGACUCCGUUAAAGGCUAGAGGCAAACCCCAACGGAUGCGCUAACAGCAUUCCUCUGGUUAACUGUUGGCUAAGACUCAACCAGAGCAUCCUACCGUUCGGGAUAAAGAACGUUCCCCGCCCUAAGGGUAAAAAGGGCUAAGCCUGUGAAUGAGUGGGGAGUCAAUACCCAUUGCGGACAGCAGUUCGACUCUGCUCGGAUCCACUA